GGUCAAGCACUGUACAACCCAAAAUUAGCCAAUCCCGCCAGGUUCGGAAGAAAGCAACGGCCGUUAGUGGAUGGUGUGAUGCAGCACGCUUGACCAUU
rnacentral:SRP_RNA from 1 species